UACGUAGGGGCAGCAGUGUCGGAUUCGAUUGGUGCGUAAAGAGCGUGUAGGCGGCCAUACAGGUCCGUUGUGAAAACUGGAGGCUUAACCUCCAGACGUCGAUGGAAACCGUGUGGCUAGAGUCCGGAAGAGGAGAGUGGAAUUCCUGGUGUAGCGGUGAAAUGCGCAGAUAUCAGGAAGAACACCCGUGGCGAAGGCGGCUCUCUGGGACGGUACUGACGCUGAGACGCGAAAGCGUGGGGAGCGAACAGG
rnacentral:rRNA from 1 species